rnacentral:rRNA from 1 species
AACCCUAGCAGGGGAUCAAUCGGCUCAAUGGAUCGAUGAAGACCGCAGCUAAAUGCGCGUCACAAUUGUGAACUGCAGACACAUGAACACCGGAUAAGUUUAACGCAUAUUGCGCGUCGGACGAUUAAACCCGGCCGAAUGCACACAAUUCUUGAGUGCCU